rnacentral:lncRNA from 1 species
GUUUUUGCUAUACAGCUAACAUUAACUGGUUCUAAGACUGAAUACUGUAUUAAAUUUGUUAUUAAAAUACAUACUCCUAUAACAAGAAGGGACAUAUAAGACAAAAUAGGAAAGAUGAAAAGGUUUUAAAGACACAGGAGAGGCUAAAGAAGUGAUUUUUAAUGGAUAUACUCUGGGAGAAAUUCUCAACUAUUUCCCUACAAAUGGGUGAUAUUAGUCACUUAGGGUGGCUGCCUUUUUUCUGAAAGCUGUCAGACAUCUCUAUGGACAAAAUAAAGAAAGAGACACCCUACGGUUUAUUUAUGUACAUAUCAUGGUAGCAGUCCGUGGUUUUAAGACAAAUUGAAACUCCAUCAUAUGCUGCUUUUAAAGCCCAAAUAACUAAAAUAAAAACUCCCAGGCACAGCAACGGCAAAAUACUGUCAUUCGCAUGUGCUCAGGAGACACGUGUCUCUAAAAGCAACAUGUACAUUUCUCUUUUCAAGCAAAUGUUUAAAGGAACUGGCACCGCAAACAUAAUCGCUCUCAAUCUGUUUCCUCAAAAUAAUACUGCUUAACAAAGGAUUAAGUAAAAUGGCACUCUGGGAGGCCAAGGAGGGUGGAUCACAAGGUCAGGAGUUCGAGACCAGUCUGGCCAAUAUGGUGAAACCCCGUCUCUACUAAGAAUACAAAAAUUAGCCCUCUCCCUCUCCCUCUCCCUCUCCCCACGGUCUCCCUCUCCCUCUCUUUCCACGGUCUCCCUCUGAUGCCGAGCCGAAGCUGGACGGUACUGCUGCCAUCUCAGCUCACUGCAACCUCCCUGCCUGAUUCUCCUGCCUCAGCCUGCCGAGUGCCUGCGAUUGCAGG